GCUGACAUGACGGCUAUCACCCGGAUGUCACUGUCAAACUCAAAUUAUCGACAUUUUCAAUAUUAUAAGCAGUGUUAAUAAUUAUAAAGUUUGUUUAUAUCAAUUAAAUAUUUAAUUAUAUUUUAGGAAAUACAUUUCCACUUUAAGGCUCUGUCUUUAUAAAUUUUUGGGAUAUAUUAAGCAACAAAGGGCAAAAUGGGUGAACGAUACAACAUUCACAGCCAGUUAGAACAUCUUCAGAGUAAAUAUAUCGGCACAGGGCAUGCGGAUACUACAAAAUACGAGUGGUUAACGAAUCAACAUCGCGACUCGUGUUGUAGCUAUAUGGGACAUCCGGAUUUACUAAGCUACUUUGCAAUAGUUGAAAAUGAGUCUAAGGCGAGAGUUAAAUUUAACCUAAUGGAAAAAAUGCUGCAGCCUUGUGGGCCACCUCCAGAAAAACCAGAAGACUAAUUGAGACUUUAUGAUGGUUAAUAUAUUGCUCUUCGUUUUUAAGUGUACACUUGAGAAAUUACUUUUAAAAAUAAAUAUGUGCUAAACACAGAUAUUUUAAAUACUGUA